AAGAUCAACUUUUAUCCUUCCAGGUAGAGGCAAGGUCCUGCCUGGGGACCCCCCGCCCCCAGGCAUGUGUCUGUUGGAAUAUCUCUGCUAUGUGAUCCCAGAUUUCUGCCCCACUUCUCCCGAGGAUGGACACCUGUCUCUCUGGAUCUUCUCAUUCACCCUGCUCCAGGACCUGGGCUUGAGGGCACUGCAACUUGAUGGCCAUCUUCACCUGCAGGCUUCCCUAUGUGUCACCCUAGGGUGCUGAGGCAGGAUCCAGUCCCCAGG